rnacentral:rRNA from 1 species
GAGUUUGAUCAUGGCUCAGAUUGAACGCUGGCGGCAGGCCUAACACAUGCAAGUCGAGCGGUAGUAGAGAAGCUUGCUUCUCUUGAGAGCGGCGGACGGGUGAGUAAUGCCUAGGAAUCUGCCUGGUAGUGGGGGAUAACGCUCGGAAACGGACGCUAAUACCGUCAUACGUCCUACGGGAGAAAGCAGGGGACCUUCGGGCCUUGCGCUAUCAGAUGAGCCUAGGUCGGAUUAGCUAGUUGGUGAGGUAAUGGCUCACCAAGGCGACGAUCCGUAACUGGUCUGAGAGGAUGAUCAGUCACACUGGAACUGAGACACGGUCCAGACUCCUACGGGAGGCAGCAGUGGGGAAUAUUGGACAAUGGGCGAAAGCCUGAUCCAGCCAUGCCGCGUGUGUGAAGAAGGUCUUCGGAUUGUAAAGCACUUUAAGUUGGGAGGAAGGGCAGUAAAUUAAUACUUUGCUGUUUUGACGUUACCGACAGAAUAAGCACCGGCUAAC